rnacentral:lncRNA from 1 species
AAAAUAUUCUACGGGGUGCGCAGACAUGUUUGAUCUUGUCAUCAAAUCCAGUUAUCAAUAUGCCCAACUACCCAUUUCAUUAUUUCUAAUUAAUUCAAAGGAAAGUUAGAAGGACUUGGGUUGGCAAGGUGGGCACCAUCACCCAAGCGUCAUCCACAUGGGAGAGGCCCUUGCUUGGAACCCAUGAGAUGGCAUUUCCUCUAUUUCUCACUCAAAAAAUAAAAAAAAUGGUUUAUAGUUAUG